CGGGGUGGAGGUAAUGCUUGGGAAUCUAGCUUAUGAGGGGGAGUAACUACGGGAAACUGUAGCUAAUACCGCGUAAUAUCGAGAGAUUAAAGUGUGGGACCUUCGGGCCACAUGCCAUAGGAUGAGCCCAAGUGGGAUUAGGUAGUUGGUGAGGUAAAGGCUCACCAAGCCGACGAUCUCUAGCUGGUCUGAGAGGAUGACCAGCCACACUGGGACUGAGACACGGCCCAG
rnacentral:rRNA from 1 species